CAGCAGCCACGGGAAAACGGAGGGGGCUAGCGUUGUUCGGAAUUACUGGGCGUAAAGCGCACGUAGGCGGCUUGGUAAGUUAGAGGUGAAAGCCCAGGGCUCAACCCUGGAAUUGCCUUUAAGACUGCCGAGCUAGUAGGUGAGAGAGGUGAGUGGAAUUCCGAGUGUAGAGGUGAAAUUCGUAGAUAUUCGGAAGAACACCAGUGGCGAAGGCGGCUCACUGGCUCAUUCUAGACGCUGAGGUGCGAAAGCGUGGGGAGCAAACAGGAUUAGAUACCCCCGUAGUCCCUGUCUCUUAUAC
rnacentral:rRNA from 1 species